UACGGAGGGUGCAAGCGUUAAUCGGAAUUACUGGGCGUAAAGCGCGCGUAGGUGGUUUGAUAAGCGAGAUGUGAAAGCCCCGGGCUUAACCUGGGAACGGCAUUUCGAACUGUCAGGCUAGAGUAUGGUAGAGGGAGUGGAUUGACUUCUGUAGUGUGAA
rnacentral:rRNA from 1 species